GCGCGUAUAGCUCAAUGGUAGAGCAACGGUCUUAUAAGCCGUAGGUCGAUGGUCCGAUUCCAUCUACGCGCA
rnacentral:tRNA from 1 species